UACGUAGGCAGCAAGCGUUGUUCGGAAUUACUGGGCGUAAAGGGUGUGUAGGCGGUUCUUUAAGUUUGGCGUGAAAUCUUCCGGCUCAACCGGGAGGGUGCGCCGAAUACUGAGGGACUAGAGUGUGGGAGAGGAAAGUGGAAUUCCUGGUGUAGCGGUGAAAUGCGUAGAUAUCAGGAGGAACACCGGUGGUGUAGACGGCUUUCUGGACCAUAACUGACGCUGAGACACGAAAGCGUGGGUAGCAAACAGG
rnacentral:rRNA from 1 species